GGCCGGUCGAGUGGCUGGGCGACACCACCAACGCUUUCAUCGCGGUCGCGCUGAUGGACAUCUGGCAGUGGACGCCGUUCUGCGCGCUGGUCCUGCUG
rnacentral:tRNA from 1 species